rnacentral:siRNA from 1 species
ACACACUUUUCUAAAGGGUGGUCC